AUCUCUUUGCCUUUUGGCUAAGAUCAAGUGUAGUAUCUGUUCUUUUCAGUGUAACAACUGGAAUUUUGUCCGUGGUGGCUUUUCUUCUCUUUGGUGUUUCGAUACCAAAAAGGAAAAAAAGUCAUUGCAGACUUCUAUGUUACAACAAAA
rnacentral:snRNA from 1 species